AGCUGACGAGUCCCAAAUUAGACGAAACGCGCGUCUU
rfam:Schistosoma rodhaini strain Burundi genome assembly, scaffold: SROB_scaffold0000776